AGGUGAAACCGCGAAUGGCUCAUUAAAUCAGUUAUGGUUCCUUAGAUCGUUCCUAACUACUUGGAUAACUGUGGUAAUUCUAGAGCUAAUACAUGCAGCAGAGCUCCGACCUUCGGGGACGAGCGCUUUUAUUAGACAAGACCAGUCGGGCCGUGUCCGUUACUUGGUGACUCUGGAUAACCUUUGGCUGAUCGCACGGACUCGUUCCGGCGACGCAUCUUUCAAGUGUCUGCCUUAUCAACUGUCGACGGUUGGUCAAAUGCCAACCGUGGUUGUAACGGGUGACGGGGAAUCAGGGUUCGAUUCCGGAGAGGGAGCCUGAGAAACGGCUACCAGUUCUAAGGAAGGCAGCAGGCGCGCAAAUUACGCCAUGGGAGCCUCCCGACGUAGUGACGAAAAAUAACAAUACGGGACUCUUUUGAGACCCCGUAAUUGGAAUGAGUACAAUCUAAAUCCUUUAACGAGGAUCCAUUGGAGAGCAAGCCUAGUGCCAGCUGUCGCGGUAAUACUAGUUCCAAUAGCGUAUAUUAAAGUUGUUGCGGUUAAAAAGCUCGUAGUUGGAUCUCAGUUCCAGUCGGGCGCUCCGCCUUGCGGCGGUAAGCGCACGUUCUGAACAACCAGUCGGUCAACCUAGAUGAUCUUCACCGGUUGUCAUGGGUGACCGUCGCUUUUACUUUGAAAAAAUUAGAGUGCUCAAAGCAGGCGUGACGCCUGAACAAAUGUGCAUGGAAUAAUG
rnacentral:rRNA from 1 species